rnacentral:rRNA from 1 species
AGAGUUUGAUCCUGGCUCAGGAUGAACGCUAGCUACAGGCUUAACACAUGCAAGUCGAGGGGCAGCAUGGUCUUAGCUUGCUAAGGCCGAUGGCGACCGGCGCACGGGUGAGUAACACGUAUCCAACCUGCCGUCUACUCUUGGACAGCCUUCUGAAAGGAAGAUUAAUACAAGAUGGCAUCAUGAGUCCGCAUGUUCACAUGAUUAAAGGUAUUCCGGUAGACGAUGGGGAUGCGUUCCAUUAGAUAGUAGGCGGGGUAACGGCCCACCUAGUCUUCGAUGGAUAGGGGUUCUGAGAGGAAGGUCCCCCACAUUGGAACUGAGACACGGUCCAAACUCCUACGGGAGGCAGCAGUGAGGAAUAUUGGUCAAUGGGCGCAGGCCUGAACCAGCCAAGUAGCGUGAAGGAUGACUGCCCUAUGGGUUGUAAACUUCUUUUAUAAAGGAAUAAAGUCGGGUAUGCAUACCCGUUUGCAUGUACUUUAUGAAUAAGGAUCGGCUAACUCCGUGCCAGCAGCCGCGGUAAUACGGAGGAUCCGAGCGUUAUCCGGAUUUAUUGGGUUUAAAGGGAGCGUAGAUGGAUGUUUAAGUCAGUUGUGAAAGUUUGCGGCUCAACCGUAAAAUUGCAGUUGAUACUGGAUAUCUUGAGUGCAGUUGAGGCAGGCGGAAUUCGUGGUGUAGCGGUGAAAUGCUUAGAUAUCACGAAGAACUCCGAUUGCGAAGGCAGCCUGCUAAGCUGCAACUGACAUUGAGGCUCGAAAGUGUGGGUAUCAAACAGGAUUAGAUACCCUGGUAGUCCACACGGUAAACGAUGAAUACUCGCUGUUUGCGAUAUACGGCAAGCGGCCAAGCGAAAGCGUUAAGUAUUCCACCUGGGGAGUACGCCGGCAACGGUGAAACUCAAAGGAAUUGACGGGGGCCCGCACAAGCGGAGGAACAUGUGGUUUAAUUCGAUGAUACGCGAGGAACCUUACCCGGGCUUAAAUUGCAGAUGAAUUACGGUGAAAGCCGUAAGCCGCAAGGCAUCUGUGAAGGUGCUGCAUGGUUGUCGUCAGCUCGUGCCGUGAGGUGUCGGCUUAAGUGCCAUAACGAGCGCAACCCUUGUUGUCAGUUACUAACAGGUUCCGCUGAGGACUCUGACAAGACUGCCAUCGUAAGAUGUGAGGAAGGUGGGGAUGACGUCAAAUCAGCACGGCCCUUACGUCCGGGGCUACACACGUGUUACAAUGGGGGGUACAGAGGGCCGCUACCACGCGAGUGGAUGCCAAUCCCAAAAACCUCUCUCAGUUCGGACUGGAGUCUGCAACCCGACUCCACGAAGCUGGAUUCGCUAGUAAUCGCGCAUCAGCCACGGCGCGGUGAAUACGUUCCCGGGCCUUGCACACACCGCCCGUCAAG